GUGCUCUUCAGAAGCACGUAUCCCAAAACUGGAAUCAUACAAAGAUUAGCAUGGUCCGUACACAAGGGUGACUUGCAAAUUCGUGAAGUAGUCCAUAUUUUU